GAUAUUUGUGGAGAAUUAUAGGCAAUUUGUCACAGAAUAACGUGGGACUGGUUCAUCUCUAUGUCACACGCUGGGUGCUCUCUAUCACUCUUUUCCGCGAGUCUGUGCAUGUCACUCGAUCUCUGUUCUUGCCCAGUUUCCACCAAUGCUGAAGUCAGCAUUCACCCCCAUUUACUGGGUGCUAUCACCCAAACCAAAAUCACCUAAACUAUCAUCACGCUUAAUCACCAACACCUUUUCAAACAGCACACCACAUGUUCGACUAAAUUCCUCAACCAAACACAACCCCGCCAUCACCCCUUCUUCAGCCUAUAUUCACCUUCCUUUCUGUAGAAAACGUUGCCAUUACUGUGACUUCCCCAUUGUCGCCCUUGGCUCCGCUUCAACCCAAACACACGAAGACCCGCGUGUUGUUAACUACAUUCAAUGGCUCUGCAGAGAAAUCACCGCAACCAAAGUAGAAGAAAAAAUCGAUUCCGAGACCGAGACGCCCCUUCAAACCGUCUUUUUUGGAGGUGGGACACCCUCUUUGGUUCCUCCAAGUAUGGUUUCCUCGGUUUUGGAUACACUGAGGACGAAAUUUGGGUUGAGUGAAAGUGCUGAAAUUUCAAUGGAAAUGGACCCGGGGACAUUUGAUUAUAAGAAGAUGCAAGAGAUGAUGUUGUUGGGAGUGAACAGAGUUUCUUUGGGAGUUCAAGCAUUUCAGGAGAAGCUUUUGAAGAGUUGUGGCAGGGCACAUGGUUUGGAAGAGGUUCACGAGGCUAUUGAUAUUGUCAAAAAAUGUGGGGUUGAGAAUUGGAGUAUUGAUCUUAUUGCUUCACUGCCUCAUCAGACUAGUGACAUGUGGGAGGAAAGUCUGAGACUCACCAUUGAGGCACAGCCUACUCAUGUUUCUGUUUAUGAUUUGCAAAUUGAACAAGGCACAAAAUUUGGAAGAUUGUAUGCACCAGGGGAAUUUCCGCUGCCUUCUGAGACACAAUCAGCUGAUUUCUAUAAGAUGGCUUCAAGGAUGCUUGGUGAUGCAAGUUAUAACCAUUACGAAAUCAGCAGCUACUGUAAGAAUGGGUAUGAAUGCAGACACAACUUUACCUAUUGGAAGAACAAGCCUUUCUAUGCCUUUGGCCUUGGCUCUACUAGUUUUGUUGGUGGCUUAAGGUUUGCAAGACCCAGGAAGUUGAACGAGUACAUGAAAUUUGUGGAAAAUCUGGAAAAUGGAUCAGUAAAUAGCUCAUCUGAUGAAAACAUUAAUACCAAGGACACUGCCCUGGAUGUUGUGAUGCUGUCCCUGAGAACUGCAAGAGGUCUAGAUUUGAAGCGUUUCCAAGAAUCAUUUGGAAGCUCUCUGGUUUAUUCUCUAUUUGGGGUUUAUAAACCUUAUGUUGAGAGUGGACACAUGAUUUUCUUGGACGAGCAAAGGAGAGCCAUUAGUAUAGAGGACAUCAACCAUUCUCUUUUGUAUGAUAUUAACUCAGAAAGGAGAGUGGCCUAUAUGAGACUAAGUGAUCCAAAUGGCUUCCUUUUAUCAAACGAGUUAAUAGCCCUUGCUUUUGGGGUUAUUGACUCUUGGAAGGAUUAUCCUUCUGCGCUACAAGAAGAUACAUGAAAGCAUGAUUAUCUAUCUGUUAAUACAACAAACGAGUUAUAGCUGAUGUUGUACAGCAAUUGUUUCGUGGCUAGUUUUACAAGAUGGAUACUCAAAGACAAACACAAAGAUUUCCCCAUCCGUACAUUACUCAAUUGACAUAGGUUGUUUGAAUGUGUUCUUUGGUUUUAAGGGAUGGAAGUUGAUUUUGCUUGUGCCAGAUUUUUGUGUGUGUGAUUGUAGAUGGCCGACAUUUAUCGUUGAGUUGAGUGGACUCUGGGAUUUUUCUUCCAACCUGAUGGUUUCUAGUUGUAUUUGUAAUGGUUGUGUUGGACUACAGGAAUUAAAGUUAUUUAGUAGCAAGCAUGAUGUGAAUAAGGGAAAAGAUGGGAUUCAAAGUUGUCGCAAGAGGAAAAGAAAGGUACUAUAAUGAUCUAUUUUUAUUCGACUUUGAUCAAUUUAAGGUAAAUUUCUACUGAUCCUAAUCAUGUUAAUAUACUAUUUUCUAUUCCAAUUUCCAAGUACAGCACCGAAAUGUCGGGCAGUAUGAUGUAAUAAUGUUGAUAUAGAAAUUUUUGGCUGCCUGGAACAAUGUGGCUGACUGGGCGUAGUGGUUUCCAUUAAUUUGUUUACCAAGAUAAAGUGAGUAGAAUACUGAUCUGUUUAUAUGAAGCUAAUUUUUGUUCUAUUAAGCUCUAUUGCCUUUGUUGAUUGUGUCUGGUUGUAUUUUUGCCUGCAAAAGCAUCUCUGAACUUCAACUAGUAUUUUUCUUCUUCCACUCCUUUCUUCAUUGUUUCUUGUUGCAUGUAAAGCUAUAUGCGUACAAACUCGUAUUGGCAAAUGGCAGCCCAUGAACAUUGAAUGCACAUAGGAAAAGUAGGUUAUGCUUUUCUGUCUUUCUUUUGUUAUAUUCUGAUUUAGUUUUACUUGUAAAAGCUAUGUGUAGCGGUGGCAAAACGGGCCCGGCCCGCGGGAAAAGCCCGUUUUACCCGCACUUUUUCGCGGGGUGGGACAAGGUUUUAGGCCCGCUCCAUUUAAUGUGCCCGCCCCGUCCCGUUUUUUUGCGGGCAUGAGCUUUUUCAUACAGUUUUACUAUUUUUAUGCCUAAAAGGUUCAAUGCCCGCGGGCUUUGUCCGCCCUGCCCUCAUUUUUUUGCAGGGCGGGACAAGGUUUUAGACCCGUACUCUCAAAUGUGUCCGUCCGCCCCGCUUUUUGCGGGCUUUUGCGGGGCAGGCAUGUCCGUUUGCCACCCCUAAUGAUGUGUACUAGUUUGACUAGUUUCCGGAAAUGGAUUCACUGACGUUUACGCUCGAACUACAGAGUGCAGUUCAUUAAUUUUGGUCUGUUAGAUAAAUCUAAACAUCUAUAUAAUUCCACGUGUCCACCUUGUACUUACAAAAUUGAAACACCUCAGUCUCUCACCUCCCUUUCAUGGCUGAAGACUCUUUUUUGCUUUCGUCUCCCACCGCCACCAUCUCUCACAUGUUAUCAUUCUAGAUGUCAUCUCUUAUAUUGUUAUCGUCUCAGGAUGUUGCUGCACUGGUUCUAUGUUUCCGCCAUAGUAAUCUCCUCGCCGGCAGAUCUAACCGGUUCUUAAAUCUCUGUCGCUAACUUGCAAACUCACACCGCUACCACCGAUUCAUUUCAUCAGGUUUGGGAAAAACAGUGGCGUGGCUCUACAACUCCAUAAAAUUCUCACGUCAGUAAGCUUCCUUAACAAAGGCAAAGAAAUAUCCCCAUGUUAACUCUAUAAUUCUGUUGAGUUGUAAUUUUCCCCCAAAAAAACAACACAAUCUCUACACCUUAUUCUUCCUGUUUUUUCCACUAUCGCACUUUUAUAAGUCUCCACCUUGACUAUCAAAGUUAGUAUCUGCUCCGGUAGCCAUUUGAAUUUGAAGAUGACGGUGGCUGGUGGUGUGACGGGACAAAACGGUGGUGUGUUACCUUCACACUUAAUCUUUAGCAAGUCAAACAAAAAAUAAAAUACACAGCCACGUGGUUCAUUUUCGAGCACAUGAUUUAUCAAACGGAUUAAAGUUUUUUAAAGGUAGAGUGACGUUCCCGCGUGGACGUCAGACAAUCCGGAUCCCUAGUUUCCUCCUUUUCUAUAUUUCUUUUGCCACAGAUUAUCUCUUAAAUAUCAAUAGUACUAUUCAAUCUUGUUCUUCUUCUUCUUCUUAUGUAUUCUGGAGGAACAGAAAAAAACUUCAGCUGGUCUUUCUUUCUGUUUUCGUCAACUCAAAUUUGCCAAGUACUUGUUAAAAAAUUACAAAAUGUUGGUGUCUGAUCUACAUAUCAAUAAUAUUUGAGGGAGGCUAUAUAACCCUAAAACUUUGAACCUUUUGCAGAAUUGAAAUGAACUUUAAAAUCUUUAUCCCGUAAAUCAUGACUAAUUCGGUCAUCGCACUAGUCGACAUGACACAAUUCCAGCUUCCCAUUUGUUUCAUGGUAGGGUUAUGAUAUAAAUGGACUUAGAAUAGAAUAGAAUGGUGUCACGAGUCUGUUUGUGUGUUAAUUUCAACUAAACCGAAGGAUUACUUAGUGAAAAAUUAUUAGUUUUGGAAUAAAUCAAAAAGUUCUGUAAAGUUGUCCUCAUUGUUGCAAUUUAGUAAUUUGACUUUGGAUAACUUAUGUGGAAUUAUGAAUUUGAAACUUGAGUCACUACAUUUCUCCAACCUUGCAAAUGUUAAUACGAGUAAGUGAUUGUCACUAGGCCAAUAACAAAAUUUUCUUCUAUAAAGUCCAUUGCGUCAAUAUGCGAAAUGGUCAAAGUUCAAUAUGGUUGUUGUAUGGAUUUCUCCCUUAUUUUUUAUUUGUAGUUUGACGCUUCUUAUUACUUCUUCACCUUUAGUUGGGGGCAAUGGCGGAAGUGGUAUAUGCCUUUGUUGACAUGAUAAUAAUGUCCUGCUCAAGGUUGGUUAAAGUGUUGAACUUUCAUACCAUCAUGAAACAAGCCCUUAAUUCGUUGCCAUUUGCUUUUAUUUUUAACUUAGAUAAGGCUCCUCUUAGUUAGAGUAAAGAUUUUGGAAAACUUGUUCAAAAGAACAAUGAUGUGGAGCCGAGGGUUUGGCUAGGAGGCUUUGGACAUUCAUUGAAUUCUUUCACGGGGAUUGCUCUUUCAUCUUUAGUGGCGGAAAUUAUGUAACACUCUAAACUCCGAAACUUAUAAAUAAAUAAUUAUUCGAUAUUGUCACUAAUGACAACCAUGCAAAUAAAACAUAAG